rnacentral:rRNA from 1 species
UAGAGUUUGAUCCUGGCUCAAGAUGAACGCUAGCGGCAGGCUUAACACAUGCAAGUCGAGGGGCAGCAUGUCCAGCAAUGGAUGAUGGCGACCGGCGGAAGGGUGCGUAACGCGUGAGCAACAUGCCCUAUACAGGGAGAUACACCAGGGAAACUUGGUCUAAUAUCCCAUAGCAUUCAUUGAAGGCAUCUUUAAUGAAUUAAAGCUUCGGUGGUAUAGGAUUGGCUCGCGUGACAUUAGCCAGAUGGUGAGGUAACGGCUCACCAUAGCAAUGAUGUCUAGGGGUUUUGAGAGGAAGGCCCCCCACACUGGGACUGAGACACGGCCCGGACUCCUACGGGAGGCAGCAGUGGGGAAUAUUGGACAAUGGGCGCAAGCCUGAUCCAGCAAUGCCGCGUGGGUGAAGAAGGCCUUCGGGUUGUAAAGCCCUUUUGUACGGGAAGAAAGCAUUCGGGUUAAUACCCUGGGUGGAUGACGGUACCGUAAGAAUAAGCACCGGCUAACUUCGUGCCAGCAGCCGCGGUAAUACGAAGGGUGCAAGCGUUAAUCGGAAUUACUGGGCGUAAAGCGUGCGUAGGUGGUUGUUCAAGUCUGUUGUGAAAGCCCUGGGCUCAACCUGGGAAUGGCAAUGGAAACUGGAUGGCUAGAGUGCGGUAGAGGAUGGUGGAAUUCCCGGUGUAGCGGUGAAAUGCGUAGAGAUCGGGAGGAACAUUCGUGGCGAAGGCGGCCAUCUGGACCAGCACUGACACUGAGGUACGAAAGCGUGGGGAGCAAACAAAAGUAGAUACCCUGGUAGUCCACGCCCUAAACGAUGCGAACUGGAUGUUGGUCUCACUUCGGAGAUCAGUGUCGAAGCUAACGCGUUAAGUUCGCCGCCUGGGGAGUACGGUCGCAAGACUGAAACUCAAAGGAAUUGACGGGGGCCCGCACAAGCGGUGGAGUAUGUGGUUUAAUUCGAUGCAACGCGAAGAACCUUACCUGGCCUUGACAUCUGUCGAACCCUGCAGAGAUGCGGGGGUGCCUUCGGGAACGACAAGACAGGUGCUGCAUGGCUGUCGUCAGCUCGUGUCGUGAGAUGUUGGGUUAAGUCCCGCAACGAGCGCAACCCUUGUCCUUAGUUGCCAGCACGUAAUGGUGGGAACUCUAAGGAGACUGCCGGUGACAAACCGGAGGAAGGUGGGGAUGACGUCAAGUCAUCAUGGCCCUUACGGCCAGGGCUACACACGUACUACAAUGGGAAGGACAGAGGGCAGCCAGACCGCGAGGUUGAGCCAAUCCCAGAAACCUUCUCCCAGUCCGGAUUGCAGUCUGCAACUCGACUGCAUGAAGUCGGAAUCGCUAGUAAUCGCAGAUCAGAAUGCUGCGGUGAAUACGUUCCCGGGCCUUGUACACACCGCCCGUCA